GACGAACGCUGGCGGCGUGCUUAACACAUGCAAGUCGAACGGAAAGGCUCCAGCUUGCUGGAGUACUCGAGUGGCGAACGGGUGAGUAACACGUGGGUGAUCUGCCCUGCACUUCGGGAUAAGCCUGGGAAACUGGGUCUAAUACCGGAUAGGACCGCACUUUGGUGUGUGUGGUGGAAAGGUUUUUCUGGUGUGGGAUGAGCUCGCGGCCUAUCAGUUUGUUGGUGGGGUAAUGGCCUACCAAGACGGCGACGGGUAGCCGGCCUGAGAGGGUGGACGGCCACAUUGGGUCUGAGAGACGGCCCAGACUCCUACGGGAGGCAGCAGUGGGGAAGAUUGCACAAUGGGGGAAACCCUGAUGCAGCGACGCCGCGUGGGGGAUGAAGGCCUUCGGGUUGUAAACUCCUUUCGCUAGGGACGAAGCUUUUUGUGACGGUACCUGGAGAAGAAGCACCGGCUAACUACGUG
rnacentral:rRNA from 1 species